rnacentral:rRNA from 1 species
UACAGAGGUCCCAAGCGUUGUUCGGAUUCAUUGGGCGUAAAGGGUGCGUAGGCGGCGCGGGAAGUCGGGUGUGAAAUCUCGGAGCUUAACUCCGAAACUGCAUUCGAUACUGCCGUGCUUGAGGACUGGAGAGGAGACUGGAAUUUACGGUGUAGCGGUGAAAUGCGUAGAUAUCGAGAGGAACACCUGCGGCGAAGGCGGGUUGCUGGGCUGACACUGACGCUGAUGCGCGAAAGCCAGGGGAGCGAACGGG